GCACCAUCUCCCCUGUGGUUCCAGCUUCUGCUGAACAGCUUCUCUUUCCACUGUCCAGCUGCAAUCAUGUAACUUCUUGUAGAGCCAGUUCUUACUGAACAGCUCCAGCUCGUGGACCCUGGUAACAGUGUUUUCUCCUUGGUCUCUCCAGCCCUAGGAUUGUAGAUGUCUCUGUCCCUUGUUUGGCUUUUUUAUUCCUUCAGUAGCAUUGCAAUUAGUUCCCCAUAUUCAAUUCUCUCUCUUAAUGACCUGGCAUGCAUUUAUCUGUUUUCCUGAUUGGACCCUGAAUGAUACAGAUGGUCUUCCAUCCAAAUAAUAAACCUGAUUUGGUUUCUCAGCCAAAUGAUGGCGUUUUAUCAUCUUUCAUCUGGGCUUGAAAGCUUGCAGAUCUGACUUCAAGCAGCAAAACAGAAAUCUGCUUUGAAAAUAUUAGUUGGCACACCCGCACCCACUCUAAAUUCCCUUCUUCCUUGCCUGCCUCCACUCUGGAGGCUGGAGAAAGUGAAAUAUUUUCUCUGUGAGUCUGUCCUUCACCUAGAGUUGGCCUUGUGACACAAUUCAGAACAGCUCAAUAAAGGAAAAUCUGCUGGUACUACUUCUGUCCUUCUCCAUUUCUUUAUACCUAAAAGAUGGACAGAAUGGCUGAUGUUCAUAGCUGUGAGAAAAGAGUCAUGAGAUAAGGCCAAGAGCAUUACAGAUAUUGAAUCUGACAUCAUAGAAGCUUUGAACAACGUUUCAAACUUUUUUUUCUCUCUUUUGAGAUGGAGUCUUGCUCUUCUCACCCAGGCUGGAAUGCAGUGGCGCAAUCUCGGCUCACUGCAACCUCUGUCUCCCGGGUUCAAGCGAUUCUCCUGCCUCAGUCUCCCGAGUUGCUGGGACUACAGACGUGUGCCACCAUGCCUGGCUAAUUUUUUGUAUUUUUAGUAGAGAAGGGUUUCACUGUGUUACCCAGGAUGCUCUCCAUCUCCUGACCUCUUGAUCUGCCCGCCUUGGCCUCCCAACAUGCUGGGAUUACAGCGUGAGCCACCGCGCCCAGCCUCAGACUUAUUUUUAUACAAGGUUUCAACAGGAAAAAACAAACAACUAUCCCCAAUCCUGGACAUCGGAUGAACUCUUUAGAGAAGCAAGUGGGUCUGAGCAAUGUUGGGGUUGGACUGUAAUGGAUUUUGCAGUGUAUUGCCCAGAUUGCUCUCUUGGGAGCAAGUCCCUUAUUUUCCAGCUGUCAGAAGUGUUGGCUGCUGACAGCUCACAGCUGCGCCCUUCGCUGAGACUUGUUCUCAGCUGAUGAUUGCUGCCUGGCUUAUGGUUAUGUCACCUCCCUGAGGCGCAGUUUUCUUCAAGUGACUUACCAUUGCAGUGGUACACAAACUUAGUCCUGUUCCUCUAAUGUAGGCACAAUUCCAAGGGCCAGCCCAAUUCCAGAUACCUGUGGGUCUGGCUGACACAUCUCUUUUUAGCUGAUGCUUGGUUCACUUCUCCCUCUAUCUAAUUCUGCUUUUCUGACAUCUUUACAGGUUGUGUUCCUGAGUAUACUUGCUAGUAACCUUCCUACAUGCAAGUUUUUGUUUCAGAGCUGGUUUCCUGGGGAAUGAAACCACGACAAUUAUAAUGAAUGAAAUACAUAAUCUGCCAUUUCACUGCUUAAAAUAUUGAUGGCGUUUUUACAACAUCAUGUCAUGCCCCAAAUUUCUCACCUGAGGAUUUUGUUUUAGAAUUAAGUAGUCAGGAAGAUAUUACUUUCCUGAAAACCUGUUCUCUUCCUUUAUUAAUGAAAAAUUAGACAAUUGAUCAUUACUCUAUAUUUGGUUACUGAGAGAAUAAACUUGCUAUUUUGUCCUUCCCCAAAUUCUGAAAAAAAAUUGUUAAAACAUCUGUAGCAAAUGGAAGCAGAUAUCACUUUUAUUACAAUAAUGGUUAAGUGGGAGAAUAGAAGUCAAUGUAAAGCCAAGAAAGCUCUCUCCUCUAAACCUCAAAUACUAGCAGUUUUAUCCAUCCAUUCGCUUUAGUACAGGCAGGGCAGUUCUUCCUAUGCAACACAAAGGAAAUUGCAUACUCCUUGAAGGCUCCUCCCACCUAGUUGGAUAAAAAGAGGAAGGGGAUAUAGGCUAUCGAUGCCUGAUUUCUCCAUCCUAACUCAACAAUAAUAUAAGUUGCCACACCUUCCCACACAUCGUUGCUCUCCCAAUGAUAGAAUGUAGUUGGGCACCAUGAACAAAUGGUACCAGUUCGGCAGUUACUGCUGUAGUUCAACAUGGCCCCGUUGACAGCCUCAAGGAAAACAAUAGGCAUAGAGAAAAGAGGGCCCUUUGGGACGUUUCAUGCACAGGAAAAAGUGACUGAUCUAAUAUGGGGUGGGGAGAAUGGAGGUUCCUAAUAGAACCCCAGAUUCUCAAUGGAUAAUGGUUUCAUUGAGGUGGGGAGCCCAGGAAAAGGAGGCAAUUUUAGGAAGGGAGAUGAAGAGUGCUGUUUAUCUUCUCUAAGUUGUUUCCUGGUCUGAUCAGUAUUUGAGAAAAUAUAUUUAGAGAAUGUGAUCACUCCUCCGCUUAUACACAUUAUACACAUACCUCUGCCACUGAUUUUUGGCUCAAUCCAGCCUAUUCUCCACACUGUUGUGAUCUUUUCAAACUGUAACAUAUGCAGGGAAAUAAUUUAGCAAUAAAAAAAGAAUGAAAUACGCAUGUUGCAACAUGAAUAAACCUUGAAAAUAAGCUGCUAUGGUUGAGGCCAAUGCCCCGGUCACUGCAGACCCUGCUGUAGUAGUCUCUGUACAUAUUGAAGUGCUGCUGAAUAAAGUCUUUCUAAUCAUGGGGAAAAAAUAAUAUUAUGCUAAGUGAAAGAAGCUAGACACAAGAGCCCACAUAUUGUGUGGGCCACUUACAUGAAACAUCCAGAGUCAACAAAUCCACUGCAACAGACUGUGUAGAUUGGUGGUCCCAGUGGCCAGUGGCUGGGCAGGGAGUGGUGGAGAGGAACGUGGGGAGUGACGGCUUAAUGGGUCUGAGAUUUGUGUGUGUAGGUUGGUGGUGGGGGCAGGGUGGUGAUGAAAAUGUUCUACAACUAGUGUGUAUGAUUGCACAACUGUGAAUAUACAGAAACCACUCAAUUGCGCUUUAAAAGGUUGAAUCUUUUGGUGUGUUCAUUACAUUUCAAUAAACCUUAUUUUUAAAAUCCACUUAAAAAUCCUUCCGCAAUUUUUAUUAAGGAGGGUAAUUAGAGCU
ensembl:lncRNA